rnacentral:rRNA from 1 species
GUGGGGAAUAUUGGACAAUGGACGAAAGCCUGAUCCAGCCAUGCCGCGUGUGUGAAGAAGGUCUUCGGAUUGUAAAGCACUUUAAGUUGGGAGGAAGGGCAGUAAGUUAAUACCUUGCUGUUUUGACGUUACCGACAGAAUAAGCACCGGCUAACUUCGUGCCAGCAGCCGCGGUAAUACGAAGGGUGCAAGCGUUAAUCGGAAUUACUGGGCGUAAAGCGCGCGUAGGUGGUUUUGUAAGUUGGAGGUGAAAUCCCCGGGCUCAACCUGGGAACUGCCUCCAAAACUGCAUGACUAGAGUACGGUAGAGGGUAGUGGAAUUUCCUGUGUAGCGGUGAAAUGCGUAGAUAUAGGAAGGAACACCAGUGGCGAAGGCGACUACCUGGACUGAUACUGACACUGAGGUGCGAAAGCGUGGGGAGCAAACAGGAUUAGAAACCCCAGUAGUCC